rnacentral:rRNA from 1 species
UCCAAUCGAACCCGGAGAUAGCUGGUUCUCUCCGAAAUAGCUUUAGGGCUAGCCUCGACUGAACAUUACCGGAGGUAAAGCACUGAAUGGGCUAGGGGCCGAGAGGUUACUGAACCCUAUCAAACUAAGAAUGCCGGAUAAUGAUAGUCGGGAGUCAGACAGUGUGAGAUAAGUUUCAUUGUCGAAAGGGAAACAGCCCAGACCCACAGCUAAGGUCCCAAAGUAUCGUUAAGUGGAAAAGGAUGUGGAACUGCCCAGACAACCAGGAUGUUGGCUCAGAAGCAGCCAUACAUUCAAAGAGUGCGUAAUAGCUCACUGGUCGAGUGGUUCUGCGCCGAAAAUUUAACGGGGCUAAACGAUACACCGAAGCUUGGGAUGCAGCAUUGGCUGCAUGGUAGGAGAGCGUUCUGUACGGGGUGAAGUCAUAGCGGAAGCGGUGGUGGACUGUACAGAAGAGAGAAUGCCGGAAUGAGUAGCGAGAUUUAUGUGAGAAUCAUAAAGGCCGAAAGACUAAGGAUUUAGAAGGAAGGUUCGUCCGCUUCUAGUUAGCCGGGAGCUAAGGCGAGGCCGAAAGGCGUAGUCGAUGCACAUACGGUGGAGAUUCCGUAGCCGCCUCUUAAUUUAAGCAAAGGGACACUUUCAAAGGGAAUGACCCGGGCGUUGGUAGCCCCGGGCGAAAGGGACCGAAAUUAGAGUAGGGAAGCAUUUCUGGAGGAAGGCGAGAAAAGCUUUGCGGAUAGAGAGAGGCGCCCGUACCGCAAACCGACACAGGUAGUCAGGAAGAGGAUUCUAAGGCCAACGGGAGAAGGGUAGUUAAGGAACUCGGCAAAUUGACCCCGUAACUUCGGAAUAAGGGGUGCUCCUGAAAAGGAGCCGCAGUGAAUAGGCCCAGGCGACUGUUUAUCAAAAACACAGCUCUCUGCUAAAUCGAAAGAUGAAGUAUAGGGGGUGACACCUGCCCGGUGCUGGAAGGUUAAGAGGAAGGGUGCAAGCUCUGAAUUGAAGCCCCAGUAAACGGCGGCCGUAACUAUAACGGUCCUAAGGUAGCGAAAUUCCUUGUCGGGUAAGUUCCGACCCGCACGAAUGGUGUAACGAUCUGGGCACUGUCUCAACUACCCACCCGGCGAAAUUGUAGUACCGGUGAAGAUGCCGGUUACCUGCGGCAAGACGGAAAGACCCCAUGGAGCUUUACUGUAGCCUGAUAUUGGGUUUCGGUAUUCUAUGUACAGGAUAGGCGGGAGACUGGGAACCGAUGGCGUCAGCUGUCGGGGAGUCACCCUUGGGAUACCGCUCUUAGAGUACUGGAAUUCUAACCUGCGGCCGUGAAUCCGGCCGGGGGACAUUGUCAGGUGGGCAGUUUGACUGGGGCGGUCGCCUCCAAAAAGGUAACGGAGGCGCUCAAAGGUUCGCUCAGCACGGACGGAAACCGUGCCUCUGAGUGCAAACGCAAAAGCGAGCCUAACUGCGAGGCUGACGGGCCGAGCAGUAACGAAAGUUGGAGUUAGUGAUCCGGCGGUAUGUGAGUGGAAAUGCCGUCGCUCAACGGAUAAAAGCUACCCUGGGGAUAACAGGCUGAUCU